UCUCUGUUAGUAUAUCGGUUAGUACACGCGCCUGUCAUGAAUCAAACAUCUGCAUCGCGCGAAAGCGGGGUUCGACUCCCCGACAGAGAG